rnacentral:lncRNA from 1 species
UGCAAUGUCUUCCAAAGUGUAUUUUAACAGGAAGCACUUUGGCACAGCAUAGGUCAAGAUUAAUGGAACACAAAACACAUUUUAUAUUCUAUAUGUCACAGGGGAGACUCUCCAAUGUCUUUGGUAGUUGUCUUCCAGUGUCAUGCUCUGUGAGACCUCCCCAUCACUCUGCACUUACUGAUCAUGGCUCUGUCAGGGCCCCAUAACCUUCACUGUCUUUUGCUUUUCUCCUUUCUCCUAUGCAAAUUUCCCAGGCCUCUGUCAGAAGUAUUGGAUUGGACAGAGAAGGCCCAGGGUGAAAGUGAAGCUGAAGGCCAAGACAAAGCAAGACUUGGAAGCACUCAUUGGUUAGGGGUCGUGGAGAGAGAACAAUGGAGUCAGAGGUGUUGGCCAUCUUGCUAUGGAGUUGGAGUUGUCUUUCUUUUAUAAGCAGCCAUCAUUGGACGGGAAGAGGACAAACAGAGAGGGAUAUUUACAAGUGAGAGGCAAAGAGAGAGCCAGAGGGCCAGAGGGCUCCACCCACGGAAGAGCCACAGCCUGCCAAAGUGGCUCCCUCUGCCUUCAGCAGCAGUUCUCCCUUCAUGGGAGGUUGUGGGUUCCCAAACUUGGUUCCAUCAGACUCUACAAAAUGGUCUCUAGCCCAGGAGGCUGCCCAGCCUCAGAAGCUU